AUUGAACGCUGGCGGCAUGCCUUACACAUGCAAGUCGAACGGUAACGGGCCUUCGGGUGCCGACGAGUGGCGAACGGGUGAGUAAUGUAUCGGAACGUACCUUUCAGUGGGGGAUAACGUAGCGAAAGUUACGCUAAUACCGCAUAUUCUGUGAGCAGGAAAGCAGGGGAUCGCAAGACCUUGCGCUGAUUGAGCGGCCGAUAUCAGAUUAGCUAGUUGGUGAGGUAAAGGCUCACCAAGGCGACGAUCUGUAGCGGGUCUGAGAGGAUGAUCCGCCACACUGGAACUGAGACACGGUCCAGACUCCUACGGGAGGCAGCAGUGGGGAAUUUUGGACAAUGGGGGCAACCCUGAUCCAGCCAUGCCGCGUGAGUGAAGAAGGCCUUCGGUGUAAAGCUCUUUCGGCCGGGAAGAAAUCGUAUGGGCUAAUACCCUGUGCGGAUGACGGUACCGGC
rnacentral:rRNA from 1 species